AUGGGGAAUGAUCUCUGCACAGGACAGGAAAGCCUUUUGAUCAAACAAGCCAUUCCCAGGCCAUUAGCAGAACUUCAACAGAAGGCUGGGCUUCAGCUCCGUUUUGGAAAGAGACACAGCUGCAGAGGGACAGAAAGGCUCCCUGAUUUGGGAACGAAGUCUGCAGAACUGUCCCAACUCUACCCAAGGCCCUGGGACCUGGGGGCAAUAGCCCCCUGCCUCUGGACCCAGCCACUUCUUUGUCUGGGAAGGAGAACCAAGUGGAAAUGCGGGGAACCACAGGGUGUCACAGGAUGUCCUGCUGUCUGUCUGACCACACAAUGGCAGCAUGAAUGCUGGGAAAAAUCUUGGCAAAUAAUAGGUGCUCAACAAAAUGUGGGUUGUGUCAGUCUUAGUCCUCUCUCCUAGCCAUCUCAUCUGACAUCCUUUGGAUUGACUUACACUGCAGACUGCUUAACUAAAUGAUGACAGAAUCAUGGGCUUCUUGUCCUCCUGGUAUAGUUAACAGAUCACGCCCCACUUCCAGGCUGCACCUCCAUUACCCGUCCAUCUCAGCGAGAGGUCUCCAGCACUGCCCUUGCUGGGGAUGGUGUCCUAAUCCACGGAGCCACAUGCAACACAAAGUCCCCCUUCCUCUUCCUCCUGCCACACCAACUCCCAGAACCAUGUGCUUGAAGCUGCAGGAUGCCCUUUCCUGCCCGCCAGCACGCUAUGGGGCAGUGUCACUACAGCAUGUCAUGGGACAACCCCAGACCCGCACUGUCACCAUCUAGCCCCUGCUACCCAGUGAGCACUGGGACCAUGGAUGUAUCCAUCCUUGCUCAUCCUUAUCCUUGGUACCAGCACAACACUUGACAUACAGAAAUGGGUUAGAAAAUGUCCCAUAAGAGGACUUGCUGGGCAUGGUGGUGCAUGCCUGUAAUCCUAGCACCAGGGAAGCUGGGGCAGGAGGAUCGCCACAAGUUUAAGGCCAGCCUGUGCUACAUAGUGAGUUCAGGGCCAGCCUACACUAUGUAGUGAGCCCCUGCCUCAAAAACAAAACAAAACAAAACAAAAAAACAGAACAACACAAAAUACAAGUGGAAGGUAAGUAGUCAUCUGUCUCCAUGGGAAAGGCAAAGGUAGAUUACGAGUGCAUCAGCCAGGACAGGCCAGCUCUGCUGUGGCAACAACAAGCCCCUGAGAUCAGAGACAGGCCUCAGUGAGAGCUGGUUUCCAGCUCAGGAUCCAGGUCCUCUCCCUCUGGGCCUCAUCUGCUUAGACCCCCAUGUGACACAGGCAAUCUGGGCUGGAAGCCCAACUACAGAGACCUGGGAGAAAGCUACAUUCUUUGUGCCACGGCCUCCCUGGCUGUUCAGCAGAAGUGAUGUCCUGGGAUGUGUCUGGUGGGCUGCUCCUGGGGACUGAAUGACAGCACACAUGUACUACAUCUGUGCCUGGACAGCUUCCCACAGGGGCCAGAACUGGACUUCAUCCACAAUGCUUGGAUAUGGGUAAGUUUGUGCUGUUCGACCAAAUAGGCCUCUUAAACAUGGAUGUAAUGUCAGCCAGUACAGUGCAGUUCUUGACCCAGAAGCACAGCUGGACAUUUGGGUGGUUUCCUACUUGGAAGGAGUGGUAACUUGUGAGCCCCAUCAGGUCUUGCAAUUGCCUGGGGUUCCUGGGGGAGUGGCUUAGGGGCACGGCUGAGGACCCAGAGAUACAGCAAGGAGCUCAGGAGGGAGACAGCAAAGUACACAGAAAACCAUCCAGGGCUUCCCCACAUCCUGCCCACCCUUUGCAAGAUGGCCAGCCCAACCGUAGCCAGCCUUCCCCACUGCCCACGUAUUCCCUCUUCCCGGGCCCCCAGACUGUCCUUAGAAGGAGCCCGGUCUCUGCCUGCCUAGCCUGCCUUCUCUCAGUGACAGUGAUGGAGAGCUAGGGCAGCAACCACCUUGCCUUAGAUCUCUAUUACCCCAUCAGACACGAUGCAUGACCUGAACAGAGAGUAAGGACUUAAAAAAUGUGUGCUGAGAUUGAGAUGCACAUCACUGAGCUGGUGGCUUUCCCUGGGGCCAGUGCUGGGCCCCAAUGAAAAGUGGGCUAUUGAUCUUAUAAAGCUGUUGCAGUUGGGAGUAAAUGGGGGACCUGGAAGGAUACAAGAAGCUAGAAGGACAGGGAUCAGUGGCAGCAAAGGAAUUUCUACCUAAAGGAGCAGAGGAACAGCCAGACAUGGGGGCACAGGCCUGUAAUCCCUGUACUCUGAGUGGCUGAGGCAGGAGGAUAACUAAAUUUGAGCCCAGCCUGGGCAACUUAGUGAGACCCUGGCACAAAAUACAAAAGGGUUGGGGAUAUAGCUUAAUGGGAAGGUCCUGGUUCAACCCGCAGCAUGGAAAAAAAUUGCUAAGGAGCACUCUUGGCUGGGAAAGGAGAGCCAAGGGCUUAUCACGAAGUCAAAUUAACAAGCAGGCCUGCUGCUGUAACUUGGUGCAUUUAGUGGGGGCAAUGGGGAGGAACAGCUACAGAAACCAAGUGGGUGGUUCCAGAGAGAUGUCAGCCUUCCCCUAGCCACCCAGCUAACGGUGCCAGAAGGCACCCCCUUCCUGCUAGAUGUCAAUGCCACCCUUCGCUGUCCUCACGAACGAGGGGCAGCAGUCUGAGUUGGCAAACCUGGCAUCAUCUCAGUCCCACCCAUCCAGGGUGAACUUGGCAACCCACUUAACCCCCUGGGUUCCCACUUCCCCAGCUGUGAAUUCAGGCCAACCUUCAUAUCACCCUUCCCCGCAUUUUAAGCAGGCC
rnacentral:lncRNA from 1 species